UGGGGAAUAUUGCACAAUGGGCGCAAGCCUGAUGCAGCCAUGCCGCGUGUAUGAAGAAGGCCUUCGGGUUGUAAAGUACUUUCAGUCGGGAGGAAGGUGGUAAGGUUAAUAACCUUAUCAAUUGACGUUACCGACAGAAGAAGCACCGGCUAACUCCGUGCCAGCAGCCGCGGUAAUACGGAGGGUGCAAGCGUUAAUCGGAAUUACUGGGCGUAAAGCGCACGCAGGCGGUCUGUCAAGUCGGAUGUGAAAUCCCCGGGCUCAACCUGGGAACUGCAUUCGAAACUGGCAGGCUAGAGUCUUGUAGAGGGGGGUAGAAUUCCAGGUGUAGCGGUGAAAUGCGUAGAGAUCUGGAGGAAUACCGGUGGCGAAGGCGGCCCCCUGGACGAAGACUGACGCUCAGGUGCGAAAGCGUGGGGAGCAAACAGG
rnacentral:rRNA from 1 species